GUAAUUCCAUGAUCCUCAAGGGAGGUUACAUGGUGGUGCCACUGUAGUUUGUCGUGAUUGACCGUAUGAAUGGCCGAAGUUCAGGAUGGGGUUUACCUUGACAUUCUAAUGAUCAUCCAUGCUCAAUUAGAGAGUGAUGAGUCAUGUGGUGAGAAUAGGAGGAGGUCCUGGUCUUGGGUGUCUCCAUUUUAUAUGGGCCAAGAUGAGUUUGGUUGGACUUACACUUGUGUGUGGUCAGGUGAAACCCCUCGGCAAUGGCUUUGCAAAGCAGUAGGGCCACCACAAGUGCACAAACCCCUGGAACUCGACAUUUCAUACUAGUCCGGACGGUCAAAUCACGUGGUCUGUCCUUGGUAUCAAUAAAAUGCAUUCAGUUACAGUUUGUGUUGUAUUAUUGUCAUCACAUGCUUGAUAUACUUGAUUGAUAACAUGCUUUUUAUACCUAGCUUACCCUUGCUUUGUGUUUGUUGUAUGUGCUUGCCCUCCCCC
rnacentral:lncRNA from 1 species